UUAUCCUCAGAAAAGCCUAAUCCAUUUAUUCUUUUAUAUGCAUAUAUAUAUAUAUAUAUAUAUAUUUGAAGUUCUUUUUCCUGGGUAUUAUAUAAAUCUAAAUCUUGUUCAGUUCUACGCUUCAAGCUUGUUUCUAUAGUCAUGAGAAAUGGUGAAGAAGAUGAUCAGAAAGAAAUGUUUUGAGUACUCUCCAGGUUAUGAUGAUGAUGAGUUGAUGAACAUGGAAAAUGGUGAUCAAACAGCAACUUCUGAAUCAUCCAUGGAAGACUAUUCAAGAAAUUGUUCUUCAUCCUGAGACCUGGUAGAUGAUGCAUCUUCUUCAUCAACUUCAAUUUUGUCCACCAAUUGUAAAGGACCUUUAUAUGAAUUAUCACAACUCAUGGCUCAACUUCCCAUCAAGAGAGGACUUUCAAAGUAUUUCGAGGGAAAGUCUCAGUCGUUCACAUGUCUGACAAGUGUUAAAAACAUACAAGAUUUUGCAAAGAAAGAAACUCGUUACAAGAAGAAAAUGAAAGCAUGUAAAAGGUAUGGGGGUGGAUUAAUGGGGGAUACCCAUAAAUUGUAUACUCUUCCAAAGCCCUCCAUUUCAAAGAAAGCCUCGAGAAAUUCUAUGUCAGCUGCCUUGUGUUUCGCAGCCCAAACAAGUUGCAGUCGGCCUCCUCUGUCUCAUCUACAACGUAACAACUUUUCAUCUGUUUAGGGUUUUUAGAUCAAACUCACAUAUGUUAUCUUUCCUUAAAUUAUAGUUAAAAAUAUUCCAAUGACCUUGUUGUCUUCAGAAUAUAUAUAGCAUAUUAACAUUCUUGGUGCACUGAUACCCGAAGAUAAAUUAGAAUAAGAUAUCAUAACACCAUAGGAUGUUUUGAAGAUGAAGAUCAAGAAAACAUA